CGCCCCUUCAUUUGAUUCUAACAUCGUGUGCAACACAGGAGGGUCUUUUAUAUACCUUCCCUGUUUCAGGUGAGUUUAAUAUGAAUGAGAUAACCACAGCUGGAGGAGAGAUUCAGUUGAUUGAUCUUUCUAAUCUGUUGCACUUGUUCUUCACAUCAGUUGCGUGCUUGGGUUCGAACCACCACUUUUCCCCAUAAUCACGGCCCCAAAAAGCAAUUUAUACCUCCGUUUUAGUUGCUGUUUUCAUUUCAGUCGUUGCCUCCUUUGUGGGUUUUUUCCGUAGAUGUGAAAUUAGGGACGUAUGUUGCGCUGUUGUACGUUUAUUAGUUUUGCUUUCGCUUGUUUUGGAAGAGAUUUUGGCUAUUGACUUUACAUGCAUACCAGCUUACAGAUUGGGAGGAAUGACAUUUGAGAAAAUAUUAAAGACUCGAAUCAAGUCAAGCCACAGGUAGAGCCGAGGUUGACUUGAAAUUGUCAACCAAAGAGCAUGAAGACUCAAUUUCAGAAGAGGCUCAGAUUGUAGAGGUUAAACCAGGAGCUGUUUGUGUGUAUACGGAUGCAGAUGGGAAAAACGGUUAAGUCAUCAGUCAACAUCCGAUCAAAAACAGGGUACUCUGUUUUGGUCAUCCGUAUAAUCAUAUUUACAGGUUGUCGCUAACGGGUUUAAGGUUCUUUACGUUUUAUGGUCCGUGGGGUAGACCGGACAUGGCUUACUUUUUCUUCACUAAAGAUAUCUUGAAAGGAAAACCGAUUCCCAUUUUUGAGUCCAGUAAUCAUGGGAUCGUUGCGCGUGAUUUUACGUAUAUUGAUGAUAUUGUAAAGCGUUGUUUAGGUGCGUUAGACACUGCUAAAAAGAGUACAGGAAGUGGUGGGAAGAAAAAAGGGGCUGCACAGUUUAGAAUUUUUAGUUUAGGGAAUACUAUGGCUGUGCAUGUUUCCGAUCUUGUAAGUAUUUUGGAGAAGUUGUUGAAAGUGAAAGCGAAAUGGUGAUGUCCCGUUUACUCGUGUGAAUAUUAGUUUGGCGCAAAGGGAGUUUGGGUAUGAACCAACGACGGAUCUUCAAAUGGGGUUGAAUAAGUUUGUUAGAUGGUAUGAGAAGUAUUAUGGUUCGGGGAAUAAAGGUGAUCAUUGAGGCAAAAAGUGGUAAACUUGUUCUUGAGUUCUUAUUCGUUUUGAUAUACUCAAAAUGAUUCUUUUGUUAAUUUUGCACUUUUUGAAAACAACUUACAUUGUUUUCAACUGUUGGUAUAUGAUGUUGCAUCAAGUUAGGAGGAAAGAGGGAUCUCAAACUCGUGCAAAUGUAAUUUUUAUGUAGCAUUAUUAUUGUAGGAUUGUUGACUAACAAAGCAAGUUUAUGUGGUUGGACUUGUAUGGUUUCUAA